UGAGCCAAACGAAUAUGGUUUGACGUCAGGAAUCUUUUUUUACAGUGUAGUUGUCUGUUCUACAAAAACUACAAAAAUGAUCAUGUUAUUAUUGCUUAAACAAUAAUCAACGCUUAGGUUAUUUUUUUUUAUGUUAUUGAAUCUUUUAUUAGUUAUUUAGUUUUCAAAGUAACAACCAUUGUCAUACAUUUCAUUUUAAACAAAAAAACUUUGCAAUUUAAUAAUAUUUUUGGAAUUUAAAAUAAAAUAUUACAAAUAUUUAAGAACAGAACAAAAAUGGAACAUCAUACAUUGAAAACAGUAGAGAUUAACCACAGAGGUUGUUGCCAAUACUGAAAAAUAAAAAUCGCCCAAUUUGCGAUAAAUCGCCCAAUCUGGCAACCCUGGAUAUGACAAUAUUUAUUGGGAACCUUAGAAUUUUGAUACGCCAACUGAUGGCUAAAGUUAAAACUGCUCAAAGUAGGCUAAAUCAUGAAUGUUUACAUGUGUCUAGACGUCUAUCAGCUGAUAUAAAUAGUAAAUACUUAAAUUAUUGAGUUUUUAUGAAUUAAAAAAUUAUUUUCGUUUAAUUUAAAAAAAAUUUCCAAUUUAUAAACAUGUGAUUUCCAUCAACAACAAAUAAAAGUAACAUAUAUUGUUUGUAUGGCUGUAAAAGUCGUGUUUCUAAAAAUGACAGUGUUCUUUUUUUCAUGUUCCUCAAAAAAUUGAAAUUGUUGUGACUGAAAAAUAAAUUGGAUCAAGAAGAAAAAUUCGACCGUUUUGAUGUUUGCUGUUUUGCUACCACGCACUUACAUGUACCAUCAAACCAACUUAACAAGAAAAAAUAUCCACGAUUCUUCCACCUUUAAGAACUUCAGCAUUUAUUUUAUCCGGAUCAUCUUGAAUACUUGAUGAUUAAGGGGCACACCUAGUGUGAAAUUUCAAAAAAAUCGAUUUGUUUUUUUUUUUUUUCAUAUUUCGGUAGAUUACAUUUUUAAAAAUAACAUAUUAAAAUUUCAAAUUGAUAUCUCAAAUAGUUUUUGAGUUAUAGCCAUUUAAAGUGCAGCCGCUCGACAGAUAGAAAUAUUGAGACAAUUACGUAUACGUAUAAUAAUGACAAUAAUGUUGUGAUUGACCCAUCUCAUGAAUAUUGUAUUUUACAAUUUAUAUCAGUUUUCAGUAUAAUUAGUAAUUUAUUGGUGUGUAAAACCUGGAAUAGCAGAUUAGCUAUUUCAUCCACGGAGAAGGCCGGAAUUACGUAAUGCAGUAUACUGCAGCAGCGGAGGACCUUUUUUUUCGCCCCGUCGGAGAUCGUGCAUAACUUAAAAAAUAUCUAAUUUUUUUCUUCAAAAAUUUCGCUGUAUAUUCUUAAAACAUGUAUAACUAUACUCCUAAAAUUUUGAAACAAUUAAUAAAGUAGUUUUUUUAAUAAAAAUUCCCAAAAAUCACUUUCUUUUAGGCCGUCACACUAGGUGUGCCUCUUAAAGACAAAAAGUAAUAAUUUUUAAACAAUUAUUGUCCUCGCUAACCUUACCAAAGUUCAACAAGUGUCCGUGAUUUAUUAUAUUUUUAUCGCCGAUAAAAUUUUUAC